rnacentral:sRNA from 1 species
GCCGGGCGCGGUGGUGCGCGCCUGUAGUCCCAGCUACUGGGGAGGCUGAGGCAGGAGGAUCUCUUGAGCCCAGGAGUUCUGGGCUGUAGUGUGCUAUACACAUCGAGUGUCCGCACUAAGUUCGGCAUCAAUAUGUUGACCUUCCAGAGCUGGGGGCCACCAGGUUGCCUAAGGAGGGGUGAACUGGCCCAGGUAGGAAAAGAGUUGUAAAAUAUUGGUAUUAUUUCUUCCUUAAAUGUCUCGUGGAGUUUAAUAGUACAGUCCCUCAGGCCUGUGUACUCAUUGCUCA